CGGCGAGUUGGGGUUCCAGCCACGUAACACCCCCAAACACCCCCCCCAACAGGGAGGGGACGAGUUUAAACAAAGAGAAGAACCGAGACCUUCCUCAUGGGACUCCGCUCCAGACGCACCAGAAGAUACACUUUUUCCAAAAAAAUCCAGGAGCUGCCCUGGUUUAGACCUCCUGUGUCCCCCCCCCAGACCUGUCCCCGGGCAGGGGCUGGUCGGGGGCACCCCAAGGGGCACCGGGCAGAGCCGCCGGCGAGGAGAGCUCAUGGUGGACGGGUGCCAAAGCUUCCCCACAGCAAAAAUCCUUCCUGAGCCCCUGCAGCGCUGCCCGGGACGGAGAGGAGGAGGAUGGCGAUGGCUCCAGAGCGAAGGACUCCUCGGCAGAGCUGAAGGGCUCGAGGAGGAGCGGCCGGGGCUCGGUCGGUCCGAGAAGCCGCGGCGGCGACUCGGUGCUUGGUGGGGAACCGGGCUGUCACCGGGGCCGGGCUGUCACCAGGAGGAGACACACACAAGCUCUUUGCUCUCCAGAGUUCAAGACACCGGGGUUACUGCCCCCAACUGCUUGCCUUCUCACUUUCUACUUUCCCCUCUCAGAGAUAAGGAGCAACUGUAAGGAAAGGAUUUCUUUGGCAUUUCUCCCUGUUAACGGGCAAAGCCCAAGGCCACGAGCCUCACCUCCUCUCCCCGACCACCUCAGGGUCAGAAACACCACCUCGGGCUGCAGAACCAGACGAGAGGCCAAAAAAGCCUUACACCGAGAGGCAGCUUUGUCCUGUGGCUGCGGGGACGUCCAGAGGCAAAAUAUACCGGAUGGGAAGCUCCUGCAAAGCCCCAAACCUCCUCCCGUGCAGAUGCCAGGCCAGAAGCAACAGCCCCCGUCCAGGCUUCUUGGCACCUCGCUCUGGGGGUCAAACCGCCCCGAUUCCCCCCCCCCCGAAAGUCUCAGCUCUGCCUGCAGGGCGGGAGAGGACAAACUCCAAAAGAAACCAGCCAAGUGGGAAGAG
rnacentral:lncRNA from 1 species